rnacentral:rRNA from 1 species
AUUGAACGCUGGCGGCGUGCUUAACACAUGCAAGUCGAUCGGUAACAGGUGUAGCAAUACAUGCUGACGAGAGGCGGACGGGUGAGUAAUGCUUGGGAAUCUGCCUAUUAGUGGGGGACAACCCGGGGAAACUCGGGCUAAUACCGCAUACGCUCUACGGGGGAAAGCCGGGGACCGCAAGGCCUGGCGCUAAUAGAUGAGCCCAAGUCGGAUUAGCUAGUUGGUAGGGUAACGGCCACCAAGGCGACAAUCCGUAGCUGGUCUGAGAGGACGACCAGCCACACCGGAACUGAGACACGGUCCGGACUCCUACGGGAGGCAGCAGUGGGGAAUAUUGGACAAUGGGGGCAACCCUGAUCCAGCGACGCCGCGUGGGUGAAGAAGGCCUGCGGGUUGUAAAGCCCUUUCGGUGGGGAAGAAAAGUCUCGACCUAAUACGUCGGGACCUUGACGUAACCCACUAAAGAAGCACCGGCUAACUCUGUGCCAGCAGCCGACCGU